rnacentral:rRNA from 1 species
UAGGGAAUAUUAGAAAUGGACGAAAGUCUGAUCUAGCAACACCGCGUGUGCGAAGAAGGCCUUCGGGUUGUAAAGCACUUUUUGGAAGGAUUAGGAAGGAAUGUACUUCCAAUAAGUCUCGGCUAACUACGUGCCAGCAGCCGCGGUAACACGUAGGAGGCAAACGUUAUCCGGAUUUACUGGGCGUAAAGCGCGUGUAGGUGGUUCUGUAAGUAGGGCGUGAAAGCUCCUGGCUCAACUGGGAGAGGCCGUUCUAAACUGCAGAGCUAGAGGAUGGUAGAGGGAGGUGGAAUUCCGGGUGUAGCGGUGGAAUGCGCAGAUAUCCGGAGGAACACCAGUGGCGAAAGCGGCCUCCUGGACCAUUCCUGACACUCAGACGCGAAAGCUAGGGUAGCAAACG